rnacentral:misc_RNA from 1 species
UUUCCGUAGGUGAACCUGCGGAAGGAUCAUUAUUGGAUUUUGAAACUUCAGGCUGCUGCUGGCUCUCCUCGGAGGGCAUGUGCACGCUUGUUGUCCAUUAUUUCUCCCACUGUGCACAAAUUGUAGACCUUUCAGUAGGCCUAUGUUGUUUUUCACAAUCUCUGAAUGUAAUAGAAUGGUUUUGAAUCUUGGGAAAUACAAUACAACUUUCAGCAACGGAUCUCUUGGCUCU